rnacentral:rRNA from 1 species
UGGGGAAUCUUGGACAAUGGGGGCAACCCUGAUCCAGCCAUGCCGCGUGAGUGAUGAAGGCCUUAGGGUCGUAAAGCUCUUUCGCCUGUGAAGAUAAUGACGGUAGCAGGUAAAGAAACCCCGGCUAACUCCGUGCCAGCAGCCGCGGUAAUACGGAGGGGGUUAGCGUUGUUCGGAAUUACUGGGCGUAAAGCGCACGUAGGCGGACCAGAAAGUUGGGGGUGAAAUCCCGGGGGCUCAACCCCGGAACUGCCUCCAAAACUAUUGGUCUAGAGUUCGAGAGAGGUGAGUGGAAUUCCAAGUGUAGAGGUGAAAUUCGUAGAUAUUUGGAGGAACACCAGUGGCGAAGGCGGCUCACUGGCUCGAUACUGACGCUGAGGUGCGAAAGUGUGGGGAGCAAACAGGAUUAGAUACCCUGGUAGUCCACACCGUAAAACGAUGAAUGCCAGUCGUCGGGUAGCAUGCUAUUCGGUGACACACCUAACGGAUUAAGCAUUCCGCCUGGGGAGU